CGCCUCUCAGGGUCACACCUGGUGAGUUUCCAGUACUCUACCAGUCUUGAUUAUGGGAGGGAGAGUCCAGCAGAGACCUACCCAUUUCAUUCCUAGCUUGGCCAGUGGCUAGUGAGUGCAGGCAAUCUGCUACGAGU